GAUGAAGAACGUAGCGAAAUGCGAUAAGUAAUGUGAAUUGCAGAAUUCAGUGAAUCAUCGAAUCUUUGAACGCACAUUGCGCCCCUUGGUAUUCCGAGGGGCAUGCCUGUUCGAGCGUCAUUAUAACCCCUCAAGCUCAGCUUGGUGUUGGGGCCUGCUGCACUGGCAGCCCUUAAAAUCAGUGGCGGCGCCAUCUGGCUCUAAGCGUAGUAAUUCUUCUCGCUAUGGAGUGCUGGUGGAUGCUUGCCAUCAACCCCCAAUUUUUCUAUGGUUGACCUCGGAUCAGGUAGGGAUACCCGCUGAACUUAAGCAUAUCAAUAAGCGGAGGA
rnacentral:misc_RNA from 1 species